CGCCAGCCGUCUCUUCCUCGACCGUGUCAGUGUGCUCUCUUCGCGCUCCUGGUCGAGGGGACUCUUUUAUACCUCGUGCAUCUACCUCUCUACCGCCUCCCGCCCUCGCUCUUGGCCUCCUGUGGGCGGCCCUGUGCAAGCCCUGGCCUCUCGGGAGGGCGUAGAGUAGGCUGCAAGAAGUGUAUUAUUGAAGGAAAAGUGAAGUAAAAAAGAUAAGAAUUCAUCCCUGCUCUAAAACCAGAAAAGAAAAAUGUGUAUGUAAAAGCUGUUGUGGCGACGAGAUUUUCAGGGAAAAUCCUGUGUAAGUUGUGUGUUUUCCUGGUCGUUGAGAGAUUUACUAAAGUGGUUGUUUGAUUAAGCCAUUUGUUGGAAAUUUGUAAUGGAAAAAGGAGCCCGUUCCUUCGAAGUGUGCUUCUGAUAACGUUCU